UUUGGUGAUCAUUCCUCUUCGGUGAU
rnacentral:piRNA from 1 species